rnacentral:rRNA from 1 species
CCUACGGGCGGCUGCAGUGGGGAAUAUUGGACAAUGGGGGCAACCCUGAUCCAGCCAUGCCGCGUGUGUGAAGAAGGCCCUCGGGUUGUAAAGCACUUUCAGUGAGGAAGAACGCCUGGUGGUUAAUACCCAUCAGGAAAGACAUCACUCACAGAAGAAGCACCGGCUAACUCCGUGCCAGCAGCCGCGGUAAUACGGAGGGUGCGAGCGUUAAUCGGAAUUACUGGGCGUAAAGCGCGCGUAGGUGGCUUGAUAAGUCGGUUGUGAAAGCCCCGGGCUCAACCCGGGAACGGCAUCCGGAACUGUCAAGCUAGAGUGCAGGAGAGGAAGGUAGAAUUCCCGGUGUAGCGGUGAAAUGCGUAGAGAUCGGGAGGAAUACCAGUGGCGAAGGCGGCCUUCUGGACUGACACUGACACUGAGGUGCGAAAGCGUGGGUAGCAAACAGGAUUAGAUACCCCGGUAGUC